ACGGAUAUGAUGAAAUUGGUAGACGUGUUAGGUUUAGAUUCUAAUGAUACAAAUCGUGAGGGUUCGAGUCCCUCUAUCCGUA
rnacentral:tRNA from 1 species